rnacentral:rRNA from 1 species
CCUACGGGAGGCAGCAGUGAGGAAUAUUGGUCAAUGGCCGGAAGGCUGAACCAGCCAUGCCGCGUGAAGGUCAGUGCCCUAUGGGCGUUAAACUUCUUUUGUGCGGGAGCAAUUAUGGUCACGUGUGGCCAGACGAGAGUACCGUACGAAUAAGCAUCGGCUCACUCCGUGCCCGCAGCCGCGGUAAUACUGGGGAUUCACGCGUUAUCCGGAUUUAUUGGGUUUAAAGGGUGCGUAGGCUGUGAGGUAAGUCAGCGGGGAAAUGCCCCCGGUCAACGGGGUGAAGUGCCAUUGAUACUGCCUUGCUGGAAUGCGGAUGCCGGGGGAGGAAUGUGUGGUGUAGCGGUGAAAUGCGUAGAUAUCAGGAGGAACACCGGUGGCGAAGGCGGCCUGCUGGACUGCAACUGACGUUGAGGCCCGAAAGCGUGGGUAUCGAACAGGAUUAGAUACCCCUGUAGUC